CUCAGGGUCACUCAGGGUCACUCAGUGGUCACUCAGGGGUCACUCAGGGAGGGCAGCCGGGUCACUCAGGGUCACUCAGGGGUCACUCAGGGUCACUCAGGGGUCACUCAGGGGUCAUUCAGGGGCAGCCGGGGUCACUCAGGGUCACUCAGGGGUCACUCAGGGUCACUCAGGGGUCAUUCAGGGUCACUCAGGGGUCACUCGGGGUCACUCAGGGGUCACUCAGGGGUCA